AGAUUCAUGUCAUAUUUGAAGAACCAAUAUUUACUGCAAACCAUAAGCUUAUCCUAAUGUUACUGUAGCAACAAUAAACUAUUUAAAAUCAAAUAGAUAAAAUCAGCCACUUCUUAAAACCUUUGCAUUGGAUACAAGAAAGCUUUGGAGAAAAGGCAAAAAAGACAACCUGAUUAUCACUUGUAGACUAACAAAUCACCAAAAGGA
rnacentral:lncRNA from 1 species